rnacentral:rRNA from 1 species
ACGGAAGGCAGCAGUGAGGAAUAUUGGUCAAUGGACGGAAGUCUGAACCAGCCAUGCCGCGUGAAGGAAUAAGGCCCUAUGGGUCGUAAACUUCUUUUGUGGUGGAGCAAUAAGGUGCACGUGUGCAUCGAUGAGAGUACAUCACGAAUAAGCAUCGGCUAACUCCGUGCCAGCAGCCGCGGUAAUACGGAGGAUGCGAGCGUUAUCCGGAUUUAUUGGGUGUAAAGGGUGCGUAGGCUGUUCUUCAAGUCAGAGGUGAAAUACCGGGGCUCAACCCUGGAACUGCCUUUGAUACUGGAGGGCUUGAAUACUGUUGCCGUGGGAGGAAUGAGUAGUGUAGCGGUGAAAUGCAUAGAUAUUACUCAGAACACCGAUUGCGAAGGCAUCUCACGAAGCAGCGAUUGACGCUGAGGCACGAAAGCGUGGGGAUCAAACAGGAUUAGAUACCCUGGUA